rnacentral:rRNA from 1 species
UGGGGAAUAUUGGACAAUGGGGGCAACCCUGAUCCAGCAAUGCCGCGUGUGUGAAGAAGGUCUUCGGAUUGUAAAGCACUUUCGACGGGGACAAUGAUGACGGUACCCGUAGAAGAAGCCCCGGCUAACUUCGUGCCAGCAGCCGCGGUAAUACGAAGGGGGCUAGCGUUGCUCGGAAUGACUGGGCGUAAAGGGCGUGUAGGCGGUUUACACAGUCAGAUGUGAAAUCCCCGGGCUUAACCUGGGAGCUGCAUUUGAUACGUGUAGACUAGAGUGUGAGAGAGGGUUGUGGAAUUCCCAGUGUAGAGGUGAAAUUCGUAGAUAUUGGGAAGAACACCGGUGGCGAAGGCGGCAACCUGGCUCAUGACUGACGCUGAGGCGCGAAAGCGUGGGGAGCAAACAGGAUUAGGAUACCCUGGUAGUCCACGCUGUAAACGAUGUGUGCUAGAUGUUGGGUAACUUUGUUAUUCAGUGUCGCAGUUAACGCG